rnacentral:rRNA from 1 species
UGAAGGGCAUUUGGUGGAUGCCUUGGCACUGAGAGGCGAUGAAGGACGUAGCACGUUGCGAUAAGCCGCGGGGAGAUGCGAGCAAUCGUUGAUCCGCGGAUUUCCGAAUGGGGAAACCCACCUAGCUUGCUAGGUAUCGCCGUCUGAAUACAUAGGACGGCGAGGCAAACCCGGCGAACUGAAACAUCUAAGUAGCCGGAGGAAAGGACAUCAACCGAGACUCCGUGAGUAGUGGCGAGCGAAAUCGGACCAGGCCAGCGGCCAAUCGAAGAGAACCGGAACGGACUGGAACGUCCGGCCAUAGUGGGUGACAGCCCCGUACGGGUAGUGCUUCGAUUGGUCCUCGAGUAGGGCGGGGCCCGUGAAACCCUGUCUGAACGUGGGGGGACCACCCUCCAAGCCUAAGUACUCCUCAGUGACCGAUAGUGAACAAGUACCGUGAGGGAAAGGUGAAAAGCACCCCGACGAGGGGAGUGAAAUAGACCUGAAACCGAAUGCCUACAAGCAGUCGGAGCGGAGUCCGUACCUACGGGUGCGGAGGUCCGUGACGGCGUACCUUUUGUAUAAUGGGUCAGCGAGUUGAUCUUGCGAGCAAGCUUAAACCGUCAGGUGUAGGCGCAGCGAAAGCGAGUCUGAAUAGGGCGAAUUAGUUCGUAGGAUCAGACCCGAAACCGGGUGAUCUAGCCAUGGGCAGGUUGAAGGUGCGGUAACACGCACUGGAGGACCGAACCCACCUAUGUUGAAAAAUGGGGGGAUGACCUGUGGCUAGGGGUGAAAGGCCAAUCAAACCCGGAGAUAGCUGGUUCUCCGCGAAAUCUAUUUAGGUAGAGCGUCGCAUGAUUACCGCCGGGGGUAGAGCACUGGAUGGGCUAGGGGGACCCAAAGUCUUACCAAACCUAACCAAACUCCGAAUACCGGUGAGUACAGUGCGGCAGACAGACUGCGGGCGCUAAGGUUCGUAGUCGAAAGGGAAACAGCCCAGACCGCCAGCUAAGGUCCCCAAGUCAUGGCUAAGUGGGAAAGGAUGUGGGAAGGCCAAAACAACCAGGAGGUUGGCUUAGAAGCAGCCAUCCUUUAAAGAAAGCGUAACAGCUCACUGGUCUAGUUAAGCCGGCCUGCGCCGAAGAUGUAACGGGGCUAAAGCCAUGCACCGAAGCUGCGGGCAAGAGAGAGCAGUUGUCAAAGUUCAGAAACCCUUCCCCCGGACGGGGGAAGGGGUGGGAUGGGGGCGAAGCCAAGCGCGCCGAGCGCGCUUUCGUUUCCCCCACCAACCCAAACCCUUCCUCCCCCAGUGGAGGAAGGGCUGUUGGGCUUUGUCAUCUGCUCUCUCUUGCGGUAGCGGAGCGUUCCGUAAGCCAAUGAAGGCGUCCCGCGAGGGGCGUUGGAGGUAUCGGAAGUGAGAAUGCUGACAUGAGUAGCGACAAACAGGGUGAGAAACCCUGUCGCCGAAAGUCCAAGGGUUCCUGCGCAAGGCUAAUCCGCGCAGGGUGAGCCGGCCCCUAAGGCGAGGGCGAAAGCCGUAGUCGAUGGGAACCGGGUUAAUAUUCCCGGGCCUGCUGGUGGUGACGAAGACCGAGUGUCGUCCGUGCUUAUCGGAUUGUGCGGGCGGCUUAAGUCUUCCAGGAAAUAGCCCCAGCGAUAUAGACCGUACCCUAAACCGACACAGGUGGACUGGUAGAGCAUACCAAGGCGCUUGAGAGAACGAUGUUGAAGGAACUCGGCAAAUUGCCCCCGUAACUUCGGGAGAAGGGGGCCCGCUCAUUGGGCAACCAGUGGGCGGGGGCACAGACCAGGGGGUGGCGACUGUUUACUAAAAACACAGGACUCUGCGAAGUCGCAAGACGACGUAUAGGGUCUGACGCCUGCCCGGUGCCGGAAGGUUAAGGGGAGCGGUGCAAGCUGCGAACCGAAGCCCCGGUAAACGGCGGCCGUAACUAUAACGGUCCUAAGGUAGCGAAAUUCCUUGUCGGGUAAGUUCCGACCUGCACGAAUGGCGUAACGACUUCCCCGCUGUCUCCAACAUCGACUCAGCGAAAUUGAACUCUCCGUGAAGAUGCGGAGUUCCCGCGGUCAGACGGAAAGACCCCGUGCACCUUUACUACAGCUUUGCAGUGGUGCCAGGGAUCGGAUGUGCAGGAUAGGUGGGAGCCUUUGAAGCGUUGGCGCCAGCUGGCGUGGAGGCAACCUUGACAUACCACCCUUUCGAUCUCUGGCCUCUAACCGCGGCCCGUGAACCCGGGUCCGGGACCCUGCAUGGUGGGUAGUUUGACUGGGGCGGUCGCCUCCCAAAGAGUAACGGAGGCGCGCGAUGGUGGGCUCAAGCUGGUCGGAAAUCAGCUGUUGAGUGUAAUGGCACAAGCCCGCCUGACUGCGAGACCGACGGGUCGAGCAGAGACGAAAGUCGGCCAUAGUGAUCCGGUGGUCCCGAGUGGAAGGGCCAUCGCUCAACGGACAAAAGGUACGCCGGGGAUAACAGGCUGAUAACCCCCAAGAGUUCAUAUCGACGGGGUUGUUUGGCACCUCGAUGUCGGCUCAUCACAUCCUGGGGCUGGAGCAGGUCCCAAGGGUUCGGCUGUUCGCCGAUUAAAGUGGUACGUGAGCUGGGUUUAGAACGUCGUGAGACAGUUCGGUCCCUAUCUGCCGCGGGUGUAGGAGAAUUGAGAGGAUCUGCCCCUAGUACGAGAGGACCGGGGUGGACGAACCUCUGGUGGACCGGUUGUCGCGCCAGCGGCACAGCCGGGUAGCUAAGUUCGGAAGGGAUAACCGCUGAAAGCAUCUAAGCGGGAAGCCUACCUCGAAACUGGUUCUCCCUUGAGAGCCGUGGAAGAUCACCACGUUGAUAGGCCGGGUGUGGAAGCGCAGCAAUGCGUGAAGCUUACCGGUCCUAAUCGCUCGAUUGGCUUGAUC